AACUAAUCAAUCAAAUAAAGGGAAAUAAUAUGAACCUAGAGAUUGAAAUUCAAAUUGGGUUUCAGAACCAGGUACGUUUUUACAGAAGGGUGUUGCUGAAAGACCCCCCAAAAAAAAUUAAAAAAAAUAAAUCAAUGGAAAAUGAUGAAUUGAAACAAAAUGUUAAUAAAAAUCUAAGCUUUUUCACCUUUAAAGCACAAAUCAAUAGAAAAGUUGCAGACUUUAGAAAUCCAGGAAGCACAAUCACACAACUCAGUCAAAGCAAUUUAAUAAUCAGCUCAUUGUCAAUAUUUUUGAACAACAAUUA
rnacentral:lncRNA from 1 species